rnacentral:sRNA from 1 species
GGGUGACCUCCCGGGAAG